CCUUUUUUCCCCACAAAAUCGUUAUUUUCCCCCAAAGCUAUAUGCUGUCUGUAUCUCGAUUCAUCCAUCGAAGAUUUUUGUGACACUGAAAACAUCAAAUAGCAGGUGAGUGAAAGUUUAAAAACUGUAAAAAUAGUUGCUGAAACGGGCGUUUUAUUAAUUGAAAUUGAGUUGAUUAGCUGAAUACUAUCCGUGUUAAGUUUCAAGAAUGGAUCUUUUGAGUACGAUUGAAGAUCAAGGUGAAGCCCUAAAUGCGGUUUCUGUUCCUGAUCAUCCACUUAAUAAUGCUUUUGGCUCACUGAAUGAUAUGUGUUAUGAACUAUCAUCCUUACAAGAUCUAGCGUGUCGUGGUUCAUGGAAGUCGAUUCUUGACAAAGUGGCUCGAGCGCGUACGCAGUCUCUACUUUCUAAGCCACAUGAACAUCUAGUAUAUCUUACGUAUAACAUCAUUGCCCUAACCAAGCUGCGUCGUUUUCCUGAAGCAGUUAUUGAACUUGAUACCCUUGAGAAUGGGAUUGACAAUGUUAUUUACAGUUAUGAAAAUUACCCGCAGCAUUACCCUAACAGGUAUGGGUCCAUGGCCCCGUUUGCUCUUCGUUGGUUGUAUGCUGAACUUCCUUCGAAAGUUGGAAACCGUCAAGAAACUGUAGAUAGAUUCUAUAUGCUGUUACAGUUUGUUAGGGAGAAAACAAAAGUAAGUAAAGAUAGGUUGGGUUUGGCAGAUGAUGUAUGGAGAAUACGUGAGGGGUUGGUGAUUAAUUCAAUUAUAAGUCAUCAUCUGAGUCAUAAAGAGUUUGGUGUGUGUUUGGAUUUGAUUAUAGAUCUGAUUAAACGUGACCCGACCCCUGUUGCUAGAGCCGUGUUGAUGUCAAAACUCGGUUAUAUUCAAAUGCAGUUAGGGGAUUUGGAAGGUGCAAAGGCAAGUUUUGGUGUUGUCGAGGGAAUUGUGAAUGAGGAGAACGUAGAAGUUGAAAUGAAAAAUCUUGUGAACAGGAAUAAGGCGUUGAUUUUUAUGGUCGGGAAGGAUUAUGUUUCUGCGGUGAGGGAAUACCAGGAGUGUAUUGAUAGAGAUGGUUCAGAUGUGGUUGCGAUUAAUAAUAAAGCUCUUUGUUUAAUGUACUUGCGUGAUUUAUCAGAUUCUAUAAAGGUGUUGGAAAAUGCAUUGGAGAGUGUUCCGACUGCUGCUUUGAAUGAGACUUUUGUGGUGAAUUUGUGCAGCAUGUAUGAGUUGGCUUAUGUGAAACACUCUGAUAUCAAGAAAACUCUUAGCAAUUGGAUUGCUCGUGUGGCUCCUGAUGAUUUUGAUACUUCGUCUACUCGAGUUUGAGGUAAUUACAGUUUUUUUUUUCCAACGAUGACAUUCCAAUAUUAUAAAUUGUUCUGUCUGCACCACCUGAUUCAGUGUUCAGUACAUCAAGACCAAAGGUGCCUAUCUUAUAGAAGUAAGAGAGCUUACCCAUGAUUAUGUUCUAGCCGUUUCCUGUUGUACACUGUAAAUCUUUUCUGCAGAAGGACAAAAUGCAGGCAUUUCCCUAUUAUCAACCUUAAAAAACUGUAUCUGCAAAGCUGAGUCUUAGCUUGGCUCAGCUGUUCGGCACGUUCAUAGCUACUUGUUUGUUCCCAGUUGGAAUCUUGGCUAGUUAUUUUUAGCAGUGCAUUACGAUUGUGGUAAUUUUAUGACUUAAAACGUGAAUCAAAGGCCUCAUUGAUUGUUUUUGUAGCUCAAA